rnacentral:lncRNA from 1 species
CACACACAAUGGUGACAGGGCGUGGAGAAACGUCAAGCUGGAACUGACCAGGAAGCUUCCUCCCACUGCUGUUCUUAUUAUACUAGAAGGUGCUGUGCGUGAUGCUGGUGGGGGUAGAAAAUCACCAUCAGCCCUCCUCAGCUGUGAACCAACACGUUGAGGCUCCUCUUCCC